UUACACAUGCAAGUCGAACGGACUUAAAGAGCUUGCUCUUUAAGUUAGUGGCGAACGGGUGAGUAAUAUAUCGGAACGUAUCCAAUAAUGGGGGAUAACUAAUCGAAAGGUUGGCUAAUACCGCAUACGCCCUACGGGGGAAAGCUAGGGAUCUUCGGACCUGGCGUUAAUGGAGCGGCCGAUAUCUGAUUAGCUAGUUGGUGAGGUAAGAGCUCACCAAGGCGACGAUCAGUAGCUGGUCUGAGAGGACGACCAGCCACACUGGAACUGAGACACGGUCCAGACUCCUACGGGAGGCAGCAGUGGGGAAUUUUGGACAAUGGGCGAAAGCCUGAUCCAGCCAUUCCGCGUGAGUGAAGAAGGCCUUCGGGUUGUAAAGCUCUUUCGCAAGGGAAGAACACUUAGUUACUAAUAUUAACUGAGGUUGACGGUACCUUGAUAAGAAGCACCGGCUAACUACGUGCCAGCAGCCGCGGUAAUACGUAGGGUGCGAGCGUUAAUCGGAAUUACUGGGCGUAAAGCGUGCGCAGGCUGUUUUGUAAGUCAGAUGUGAAAUCCCUGAGCUCAACUUAGGAACUGCGUUUGAAACUACAAGACUAGAAUAUGUCAGAGGGGGGUAGAAUUCCACGUGUAGCAGUGAAAUGCGUAGAGAUGUGGAGGAAUACCAAUGGCGAAGGCAGCCCCCUGGGAUAAUAUUGACGCUCAUGCACGAAAGCGUGGGGAGCAAACAGGAUUAGAUACCCUGGUA
rnacentral:rRNA from 1 species